rnacentral:rRNA from 1 species
GAUGAACGCUGGCGGCGUGCCUAAUACAUGCAAGUCGAGCGAACGGACGAGAAGCUUGCUUCUCUGAUGUUAGCGGCGGACGGGUGAGUAACACGUGGAUAACCUACCUAUAAGACUGGGAUAACUUCGGGAAACCGGAGCUAAUACCGGAUAAUAUUUUGAACCGCAUGGUUCAAAAGUGAAAGACGGUCUUGCUGUCACUUAUAGAUGGAUCCGCGCUGCAUUAGCUAGUUGGUAAGGUAACGGCUUACCAAGGCAACGAUGCAUAGCCGACCUGAGAGGCUGAUCGGCCACACUGGAACGGAGACACGGUCCAGACGCCUACGGGAGGCAGCAGUAGGGAACCUUCCGCAAUGGGCGAAAGCCUGACGGAGCAACGCCGCGUGAGUGAUGAAGGUCUUCGGAUCGUAAAACUCUGUUAUUAGGGAAGAACAUAUGUGUAAGUAACUGUGCACAUCUUGACGGUACCUAAUCAGAAAGCCACGGCUAACUACGUG